rnacentral:rRNA from 1 species
CACGUAGGGCGCAAGCGUUGUCCGGAAUUAUUGGGCGUAAAGAGCUCGUAGGCGGUCUGUUGCGUCCGCUGUGAAAACUCGGGGCUUAACCCCGAGCCUGCAGUGGAUACGGGCAGACUAGAGGUAGGUAGGGGAGAAUGGAAUUCCUGGUGUAGCGGUGAAAUGCGCAGAUAUCAGGAGGAACACCGGUGGCGAAGGCGGAUCUCUGGGCCAUUACUGACGCUGAGGAGCGAAAGCGUGGGGAGCGAACAGG